GGAUAAGCCUGGGAAACCGGGUCUAAUACUGGAUACGACGUCCUACCGCAUGGUGGGGGGUGGAAAGGGUUUUACUGGUUUUGGAUGGGCUCACGGCCUAUCAGCUUGUUGGUGGGGUAAUGGCCUACCAAGGCGACGACGGGUAGCCGGCCUGAGAGGGUGACCGGCCACACUGGGACUGAGACACGGCCCAGACUCCUACGGGAGGCAGCAGUGGGGAAUAUUGCACAAUGGGCGCAAGCCUGAUGCAGCGACGCCGCGUGAGGGAUGACGGCCUUCGGGUUGUAAACCUCUUUCAGCAGGGAAGAAGCCACAAGUGACGGUACCUGCAGAAGAAGCGCCGGCUAACUACGUGCCAGCAGCCGCGGUAAUACGUAGGGCGCAAGCGUUGUCCGGAAUUAUUGGGCGUAAAGAGCUCGUAGGCGGUUUGUCGCGUCUGCUGUGAAAGCCCGGGGCUCAACCCCGGGUCUGCAGUGGGUACGGGCAGACUAGAGUGCAGUAGGGGAGACUGGAAUUCCUGGUGUAGCGGUGAAAUGCGCAGAUAUCAGGAGGAACACCGAUGGCGAAGGCAGGUCUCUGGGCUGUUACUGACGCUGAGGAGCGAAAGCAUGGGGAGCGAACAGGAUUAGAUACCCUGGUAGUCCAUGCCGUAAACGUUGGGCACUAGGUGUGGGGGACAUUCCACGUUCUCCGCGCCGUAGCUAACGCAUUAAGUGCCCCGCCUGGGGAGUACGGCCGCAAGGCUAAAACUCAAAGGAAUUGACGGGGGCC
rnacentral:rRNA from 1 species